GACGAACGCUGGCGGCGUGCUUAACACAUGCAAGUCGAACGGAAAGGCCCUGCUUUUGUGGGGUGCUCGAGUGGCGAACGGGUGAGUAACACGUGAGUAACCUGCCCUUGACUUUGGGAUAACUUCAGGAAACUGGGCUAAUACCGGAUAGGAGCUCCUGCUGCAUGGUGGGGGUUGGAAAGUUUCGGCGGUUGGGGAUGGACUCGCGGCUUAUCAGCUUGUUGGUGGGGUAGUGGCUUACCAAGGCUUUGACGGGUAGCCGGCCUGAGAGGGUGACCGGCCACAUUGGGACUGAGAUACGGCCCAGACUCCUACGGGAGGCAGCAGUGGGGAAUAUUGCACAAUGGGCGGAAGCCUGAUGCAGCAACGCCGCGUGCGGGAUGACGGCCUUCGGGUUGUAACCCGCUUUCGCCUGUGACGAAGCGUGAGUGACGGUAAUGGGUAAAGAAGCACCGGCUAACUACGUG
rnacentral:rRNA from 1 species